rnacentral:rRNA from 1 species
AAUGAACGCUGGCGGCAGGCCUAACACAUGCAAGUCGAGCGAGCGGCGGACGGGUGAGUAAUGUAUGGGGACUGCCCGCUAGAAGGGGAUCACUACUGGAAACGGUGGCUUAUACCGCAUACUAUCGGCUAACCCAGAUGGGAUUAGCUAGUAGGUGGGGUAAAGGCUAACCUGGGCGACGAUCUCUAGCUGGUCUGAGAGGUUGAUAAGCAACACGGGGACUGCGACACGUCCCAGACUCCUACGGAGCAAGCAGGGGGAAAUAUUGCACAAUGGGCGCAAGCCUGAGGCAGCCAGGCCGCGUGUAUGAAGAAGGCAUUAGGGUGUUAAGGUACUUUCAUCGGGGAGGCGUUACCCGCAGAAGAAGCACCGGCUAACUCCGUGCCAGCAGCCGCGGUAAUAC